rnacentral:rRNA from 1 species
UACGAAGGGGGCUAGCGUUGCUCGGAAUCACUGGGCGUAAAGCGCACGUAGGCGGAUUGUUAAGUCAGGGGUGAAAUCCUGGAGCUCAACUCCAGAACUGCCUUUGAUACUGGCGAUCUUGAGUCCGGGAGAGGUGAGUGGAACUGCGAGUGUAGAGGUGAAAUUCGUAGAUAUUCGGAAGAACACCAGUGGCGAAGGCGACUUACUGGACGAUUGUUGACGCUGAGGUGCGAAAGCGUGGGGAGCAAACAGG